UACGUAGGGUGAGAGCGUUAAUCGGAAUUACUGGGCGUAAAGCGUGCGCAGGUGGUUCGCUAAGACAGAUGGGAAAGCCCCGGGCUCAACCUGGGAACUGCGUUUGUGACUGGCGGGCUAGAGUGCGGAAGAGGGAGGUGGAAUUCCACGUGUAGCAGUGAAAUGCGUAGAGAUGUGGGGGAACACCGAUGGCGAAGGCAGCCUCCUGGUCUAGCACUGACGCUCAUGCGCGAAAGCGUGGGGAGCAAACAGG
rnacentral:rRNA from 1 species